rnacentral:rRNA from 1 species
GACGAACGCUGGCGGCGUGCUUAACACAUGCAAGUCGAACGGAAAGGCCCUGCUUUUGUGGGGUGCUCGAGUGGCGAACGGGUGAGUAACACGUGAGUAACCUGCCCUUGACUUUGGGAUAACUUCAGGAAACUGGGGCUAAUACCGGAUAGGAGCUCCUGCUGCAUGGUGGGGGUUGGAAAGUUUCGGCGGUUGGGGAUGGACUCGCGGCUUAUCAGCUUGUUGGUGGGGUAGUGGCUUACCAAGGCUUUGACGGGUAGCCGGCCUGAGAGGGUGACCGGCCACAUUGGGACUGAGAUACGGACCAGACUCCUACGGGAGGCAGCAGUGGGGAGUAUUACACAAUGGGCGGGAGCCUGAUGCGGCAGCGCCGCGUGCGGGAUGACGGCCUUCGGGUUGUAAACCGCUUUCGCCUGUGACGAAGCGUGAGUGACGGUAAUGGGUAAAGAAGCACCGGCUAACUACGUG